GACAGAGGAUGCAAGCGUUAUCCGGAAUGAUUGGGCGUAAAGCGUCUGUAGGUGGCUUUUUAAGUCCGCCGUCAAAUCCCAGGGCUCAACCCUGGACAGGCGGUGGAAACUACCAAGCUGGAGUACGGUAGGGGCAAGGGAAUUCCCGGAUGUAGCGGUGAAAUGCGCAGAUAUCAGGAGGAACACCGAUAGGCGAAGGCAGGUCUCUGGGCUGACACUGACGCUCAUGCACGAAAGCGUGGGGAGCAAACAGG
rnacentral:rRNA from 1 species